rnacentral:lncRNA from 1 species
GAGAACAUCAUCACCCAAUAGAGAUAAACUAUCAAACAAAAGAAAGAGAUGGGAUAAGGAAAGGAUGAAGAAAGUAAGAAGAGGUCGAGGAGGUAGAUGGGAGAAGAAGAAGUCUUGAGGAAAGGUUUGAAAAAAGAAGAUAGUGGUUGUGAUGAAGGUGGUGGGAGCAAGGUAAGGGAAGGUCUGACGGUGAAGGGUUAGGUAGGAGAGCUCCUCCCAUAAGGCAUGUAAAUUUUGAAUAUGCAGAUAAGAAUGAGUGUUUUGUUGGCAUAUGCAUCUUGGUCCAGAAGUAGGAUAAGAUAUUGAUAUUUAUCUGGAGGUUCAUAAUGUAGUUUCAUUUGUUUAGAUGGUUGAGAAUUUAGAGAGUCAGUUGGAAGGAUUAUUCAAGAGAGGAAGAUUGAUAGUUUUUAGAAGAGUGAAAAUGUAAAGGAGGAAGGGGAUUGACUCGAUUUAAAUAGGGAAGAGUAUUGGUCAUAAUCAAUUUUCAUUUGUCAUUUCUGAUUAAUGCACAUUGUACGACAUAGAUUCGAGAAAAGAUUUUAUUUUUCUUGAGAACCGAGAUACUAUGGGAAAGAGGCACUGAUGCAACGAAUAUGUUUUGAAAAGGUGGCAAAGUCAUAAGAUUUAUAUUCUCGAUAAGGAAGAUAGGUUGAUAACUUGAUUGACAUGCAAGAGGUGAUUGUUGAGACUUUGGCAAGUGUACCAAAUCGUUUCAAGUAAUAAAACUGGUAAGGCCAAAUAUCGUUUCCCAAGAGACUCGUGUCACUAAACAAUCGUAUAAUUUAUAACUAACCUAGACUAAAGAAUGCUUCCAUAAAUUGGGUUUUGGUGCAAUUAAAGUAAACAUGAAACAUAAAUGAUAAAAGUCAU